rnacentral:sRNA from 1 species
GUCCUUAAGUGGGUCCCUUCCUAAGGCUGAUGUGGUGGCACAUGCUUACACAGGAACUCUGGAGCUGAGGAAUGAAGAAAUACUUCAGGAUGUUCAGAUCCUCCCUAGCUUCCUGAGACUGUUGGUCAACUCUGAGAAGCUGGGUCUUCCUCAUCAUGCCUAGUUGGGUCAGAAGCAGGAUAGUGACUCACCUUUCUGGAACAAGUGGGCUUACUAAAUGUACAGCCAACAAAGUCAGUCUUUGCGACGUGAAGAAGAGCUCCAGGCCCAAAGGCAAAAUGGCUGGGCUCUAGCCGCAGCUCACAUAGUGACUUGGGCUAGCUCUGAGCCUGUUUGGUGCCUUCAAGUUUGCAAUUUGCAAAAAAGAGGAAAUGGGUCUCUCGGUCUGCAAUCAACUGACGGUAAUAAUCUUCUGCCUUUACAGACUGCUGGGGAGUUUCAUUUUCAUCCUUGUAUCUCAUUUGAUCCUCCCAACAAGCGGAUUCCAUCUAUAAAUGAGGAAAGCUUAGGUUCCCAAGGGAGCAAUUUACAAAAGGAACACAGCAAGUCAAAAGUGGAGGCUGGGCUAUAGCUCUGGAAUCCUACUCUGGUCCUUUAUUCUCUUCGAAAAGUAUGGUGUGAGGAUCAAGGCAACGAGGGGGCUGUGCUUUUGCAAACAAUAAAAGGUUCACGGAAAGAUGAGUGGACAGCUCCGUUACCACAUGUUACUGUCACCUUUGCUCAGGCGACCCCGAGCGUCCAACUUGAGGUACUCAUCGCGCAGGCGCCUUUUUGGUGUUUACCCAGGCUGCAAGGCCCGCAUUCGCGCGUGCGCUUUCCAGCGAGCACGCCCCGAGCUCGGUUGGACUAGCAGCGGCCCUGCAGCCCCCUAGUGGUUGUGGCCGCUCUGCCACUGCGGCCCCCUGGGGUGUAGGCGGCUCCACAGCCUUGGAGCAGCGAGGGGUAUAGAGGCCAUUGCCCGGUGAAGCUUAUUCGACUUACCGUGGCCGGACCAAGAGCUAGAGGGGCAAGGGCAGAGGCCUGGGGGCUGUGCUUCGCCCUGGUGAAAACUACGUUUCCGAAAAGUCGGAGAGUGAAGUCACAGAAGGACUUAUCGGGAGUUGGAGUUUGGAGCCCGUGGAGGUCUUCUGUAGGGGGUCAAGGCAGUGAGGAGGAGGAGCCUCGGCUCUAAACCAGGGCUGAUUGGUUCUAAGGACACAUAAAUUACACUGUAGCUAGCUUGUAUCUUAGAACAGUAAGUUGUCUGAAAUUGCCCCACCGCUGCUCAGCUCUCAGAUCACCAUUGGCUUGGACUCUUCUGUCCUACCACUGUCAAACCCAAACGGGGUGUGUGUGUGUGUGUGUGUGUGUGUGUGUGUGUGUGUGUGUGUGUCCCAAGUGCUGCGAUUUCAGGCCUGCACCAGUAUGCCCAGCUUAAUUAAGAACUUUGUGCAAUGAUAAAAAAAUGUUCACUACCUUCACAGUCCAAUGCCGCUUCCACUAAUUGGUGUCCCAGGAGUUGGAGAUGGGAGGAACAUGAGUUUGAGGUCAGACUGGGUUCCAUAGUGGAACCUCGGUGGUAAUGCAUUUGCCUAGCAGACAGGAGGCCCUGGAUUUGAUACAAACGACACAUGCCACCCUAAUUGACUGCCAUUUUUAAUGAAACUAGUUUUAACCAAUGCAAAUGGCUACUUUGUGGCUAGGGCUACUUUGUUGGACAGUUCCAUAAAUUAAAUCUGUUGCCGUCUUCCGCAUAAUGGUCUCACCUUGCUUUGUGAGGCUUAUGGUUCAGUUUCUUCCUGCCUACUUCCUUCCUUCUUCCUCCAUUGUUUGUCCCUUGUAACCUAAAAAUUAGGUUGGAUUGUAAAAAUUUUCCCUACCGUUCAUUAUGCUGGAAUAACAGGUACAGAAAACGCCAGCUGUAAAAUUAACAGGAAAUACUGUUUUCCCAAGGACAUACUGCAGCUAUAAAAAAGUUAUAAUGACCUCCUGCUCUAAGUAACAAUGUAUUUCUUACCAACCACCAGGCUUGUUUUCUGAAAUUGUAGGCUAUCCGGAACUUUGUUGUUGGAAAUGAUACGAACAAAAAUGGAGAGUCUUGCCCAGGGGGUCUGAGCCAUUGAGUGGACUUGGGUACAGAGAUCCAGAAGGCGCAGACCUGCAAGAAACAGAAAGAGGAGGCCUGCGCGGCUGAUGCACACUGUGAAAUGUCAGUUACCUUUUCCAUUGCCGUGAUCCAACACCCCAGAGAGCAACCGAGAGGAGAACGUGUUUAUUUCGACUUACAGUUGUAUCCAGCUCACUUUCUUCUUGCUCAGCGGGUGACCCCUCUCCAUGGAAAAACACUGCUCAGGUUAGGGUGGCUCUGCCCACCUCAGGUAAACCUAAUCUAGAUCUCCUCUUACAGACAUGCCUAGGGACUUGUUUUCAUGGUGAUCUUAGUCCCAUCAAGUUAGCAUUGGCGAUAAAUCGUCAGGGACAGUUUACCUCAGGGAGUUGUGGCUCUGUUUGUACUGCCCUGGGGAUGCAUACAGCAAGCUGAUAGGCAUGCGUGAUAAGAAGGCUCCAAGGGUUGUGCAGAAUUUUAAUGGUUCUGUGGUGUGGCUUGCUGUGGGGAUGAUGUUGACAUCCUAAAUGGAUUCUGAAAGACUGUUGUUUUUCUUCUUCUAAGAAUCUGCUGCAUCUUUUAUGGUAGAAAAUGAAAGUAUUUUACUUUGGAACACUGUAAAGAAUUACAAUGUAACUAUUUUGAAACCUAGAAGCAGCAGAAACAAUAAAAGAUGGUUAUACUAAAAAUGUGCAUUUUGCUCUUAGGAGGGUAGCCUAGAAAAGUAUUAAUUUGUCAUCAAGAAACUAAUGUUUUGUCUGGUGUUUGAAGACAAUCUCGCUCUGGCCUGGAAUUAACAUGUAGCCGAGGAGGACCUUGAAUUUAUGAUCUCCCUGCCUCUACCUCUCAAGUAGUAUAUACUUACAGGCAUGUGUCAGCACUCACAG